UAGGGAAUAUUGCACAAUGGGGGAAGCCCUGAUGCAGCGACGCCGCGUGAAGGAAGAAGUAUCUCGGUAUGUAAACUUCUAUCAGCAGGGAAGACAAUGACGGUACCUGACUAAGAAGCCCCGGCUAACUACGUGCCAGCAGCCGCGGUAAUACGUAGGGGCGAAGCGUUAUCCGGAUUUACUGGGUGUAAAGGGAGCGUAGACGGAUCUGCAAGUCUGGAGUGAAAGCCCGGGGCUCAACCCCGGCAGCUCGCUUUGGAAUGAACUGUGGAUCUAGAGUGCCGGAGAGGUAAGCGGAAUUCCUAGUGUAGCGGUGAAAUGCGUAGAUAUUAGGAGGAACACCAGUGGCGAAGGCGGCUUACUGGACGGUAACUGACGUUGAGGCUCGAAAGCGUGGGGAGCAAACAGGAUUAGAUACC
rnacentral:rRNA from 1 species